UUCCGCCUUCACAUACCUCAUCACGUUUAUUCAAAUUCGGUUUUAUCUCACUUCGUCAUAAAAUUAUUCAAGCGUUGUCUGACACUGACGCAACAUCAAUUUUGGUGGAACCUCAGCAUGAACUUAUAUAAUUGCCUUUACUUUCUUCGGACGAAUUAAUCUCAAUGUCUUCCUGCAGCCUUGGUCAGAUUCGAUUUUCCCGAUAUUCUGGCACUCAUGGCGCCAGAAAUUACAUUUUGCUCUCGCAAGCAGUCGUCCUUCAAAUUUUCAAAACGCCCACUGCCUCCAGUGAAAGUCUUGUUGUUUUAACCAUACACCAUCAAAACAAAAAAGAAAAUCGUGUACGUUAAAUGGACAAAAAGGGCGCUUUUGUACACGAUAUUCGAUUAUAGUGUAAAGAGAAUUUGUUAAAGCGAUUUUUGACGUUCUUUGUUCUAAUUUCACAAGUUCGUGCACUUUGUUAAAAGUUGAUAUCCUUGCAUUCGUUGCAUAAUUGCUCAUAAAGUCAAGUGGGGUUAAUUUUUGAUUAAUGCGAGAUUGGAAUUUUAAACUUCCCAUUUUUGUUUAUUAGUGACUUGGUUAAUUAAGCGAUUAGUUUCGCGACGUGAUGUGCUUACCCAGCUAAUUAAAUUGGUAAUUGGAGAGUGUGCUCUGCCGAACAAUAAAGAAAAAGUUUGAUUCUGAAAAUUCUCGAUUGUCUUCUCAGCCAAACUUUUAUAAUACUUUGCAACAUUUAAACAAGACUUUUUCUUAAUUAUGUGGCAAUUACUCAAUAAUCAUGUGCCUGCUUUAGAGAAUGUCAACCUAAAUAAUGCAAUGCAAUUAUUUAUUGAAUUCAAAGAUUUGCCCAAUAAAGAAUUAAAAAAACUAUUAACAGUUUUUUUGUCUCCUCUUAAUUUAAUAUUAAAACGAAUAGACUGAAAUGAAAAAAAAGAGAAAACGGAACUAGUAGAUUAUCUCAAGCAUUCCGUCGUCUUUAUUGGGUGCCAAUUAAUUGUCUUCAUUACUUUUCGUUUUUUUCUCCUCAGACAACCUUCACCUAAAACUACUCCGUUUCUCAGACUGAUUCAUUUCCGAAAUUAAGUGGCAUUUUCACUUUUCGUUCGCUCCCAUUCCAUCGAGAAAUUUGACGGCUACGAAGAAGGUAACAAGUGCUGGGUGUGUCUGUCGUAUCUUUGAAACGGAAGAUCGGGGAAAGUCAUACCAGUCAGCGACAUACUUGUUCAAUCUCUCCACAGUUAAAAGUUUUAUUGAAAUAUAGUUGGAAAGCACAAAAAGGUCGCAAUAAUUGCAAUACAAUAGGUGUGAAGAAAGAAGAAAGUAAACACGAGGUGUAGCCCAAGGUUGUAGGUAACCUUGUAAAACGAACUUGACCGAGCGCAUCCUCACCAUGAACUCAUCAUCUUGCACUGUUUUGAAAAUCGGUUCUCAUGUAAUGAAUAUUAAUGUUGUGCACGAUUAUGGCGAGACACUUCUUAGGUUUUUGCUCCAGUUAUCGGUAGAAAUUCCCAUCUUAUUAUGCUCUGUUUACAUUGCUAUCGUCUUUUUGAAUCUCACGCGUUUUGAGUACGGAUGCUAUUAUGGAGAGGACAAAACGUUUAAAUUAUCACGCACAUACUUAAAGAGAGUUUUUAAUUGCCUUAACUUUUGUUUGGAAGCACUGAAAGAAAUGAAACUGCUGCUACAAGACUUUGGACAAGGCAUUGCUAUGAUAAUUGUUACAACACAUUGUUGCAUCACUGUGGCAUAUGAAAUUCAGAUUUUUAAAGCGAGUGUUCUGAAUUAAUUUGGGUGCUAAAUGUUUCUAAAUGAACUCGUUAUGGUUUGAUUAACAAAUUAACAACAGUCUUUCGACGCCGCAUUAUUGACUCAAAUGAGUGACUUUUAUGUAGUAUCGAAAAUAAAAGUGGUGUCUGAGUAAUGAAAAUUCGUUUAAUUGUAUACAAUUUCCGGUAAUGAUGUGUUCUACCACGUUUCUCCAAUUGUCUUUGUGCCACAUUUUCAGCUGUCAACUGGAAUGAUGUAUGGUGGUCAUCAAUGAAAUGAAAGCCAGUUUGGACGUAUUUUUUUAAUAGUAAAAACGAUAAUUACAAUAUAAUUAACUUAUUACAUUAUUCGAUAUCACUUUCCUUGCAAUUGGCAAAAAUAACGCAACAAACGUUAUUGUGCAAUAAAAUCUGAAUGUGUGCAAAAAACACUUAUAGAGUAGGUACACAUGUAAUGGAAUAAGUACAAAGAAUUCAAGAAUCACAAAGUUUGAGUAGAACGAAUCGGUCCGUCUUUAAGUUGUUUCAUUUUUGUUAUUAAGUGUUCGGUUGAGGAGCAGUUUGAGGCACGAGCUGUGUUAAAUAAAUCGCCAGUUAUUAGUGGUGAGGACCUUUUCGUUAUGUUAAAACUAUACAUAAAUUCAUAAGCACCAUUUUCCCUACAUAAAUUUGUGUGAAUCAAAGGAAGUUUAGGCUCCGUAGACCUAGGCACUAAAUCAACGAAAGUUGUCUAAAUUUGCCGACGAUGGACUAGGUCACGUCUCUUGGAAGAACUCAAACGGACAUGUAAUUGGUGUUGAUUUAGUGGUGCACGAAAAUGUAAAUUCCGUCGACUUUGUCGUUGUGAGAAAUGGAAGUAAUUUAUGGCCCUAUUGUCGGUUGGAUUAAUUAAUUUGCAACACCUUUGCCUGGCAUAAUUGGGAGAAAAAUCGCCGAAAUUUACACCGUCAGGUGCGACUUGUAACAUUCUAAAACUAAUCCGUGGGUAGAAAAAUACAAAAUCUUAAAAUUUAAGGUUGAUGGCGCAAUAAAUAAGCCAAUGAAUGUUGGUUCAAUUCUCAAACAACAACUAAAAACUUCAACAACGACAACAAGACAA